rnacentral:rRNA from 1 species
GAAUUCGAUUUGGCGGCGUGGUUAAGACAUGCAAGUCGAACGAGAGAAUUGCUAGCUUGCUAAUAAUUCUCUAGUGGCGCACGGGUGAGUAACACGUGAGUAACCUGCCCCCGAGAGCGGGAUAGCCCUGGGAAACUGGGAUUAAUACCGCAUAGUAUCGAAAGAUUAAAGCAGCAAUGCGCUUGGGGAUGGGCUCGCGGCCUAUUAGUUAGUUGGUGAGGUAACGGCUCACCAAGGCGAUGACGGGUAGCCGGUCUGAGAGGAUGUCCGGCCACACUGGAACUGAGACACGGUCCAGACACCUACGGGUGGCAGCAGUCGAGAAUCAUUCACAAUGGGGGAAACCCUGAUGGUGCGACGCCGCGUGGGGGAAUGAAGGUCUUCGGAUUGUAAACCCCUGUCAUGUGGGAGCAAAUUAAAAAGAUAGUACCACAAGAGGAAGAGACGGCUAACUCUGUGCCAGCAGCCGCGGUAAUACAGAGGUCUCAAGCGUUGUUCGGAAUCACUGGGCGUAAAGCGUGCGUAGGCUGUUUCGUAAGUCGUGUGUGAAAGGCGCGGGCUCAACCCGCGGACGGCACAUGAUACUGCGAGACUAGAGUAAUGGAGGGGGAACCGGAAUUCACGGUGUAGCAAAUCACUAGUGAAUUC